rnacentral:lncRNA from 1 species
CUGCCUCUCCUUCGAGCCCUCUUCCUCUCCUCUCCUCUCACUCAUAUCCCUCUUCCUCCUCAUCCCUCUCUUCUUUCUUUCGCCUCUAUAUUUUCUCUCACUUUAUCCUUAAUUUUAAAAUAAAAAGCCCUAAUUUUCGGAGGUGGCAUUAUUUUUCGGUGAUGGCGACGGUUGAUUUAUCCACCUUCUUCUCCAUUGGGGUCUUACAUUACAUCUAAUUAAAGGUUAGUCUUCAAUUUGAGUAUUAUGGAUUUUGUUCUCCAGUUUGGAUUCAAGUUCGACAUUUUUCUGUGAUUUUGUUUCCUAAUUGGUCGAUCUGCGAAUGGACUCGCGAGAUUCUUCCUCGGUGACCGCUCCUAACAGAGAUACGUCUUCUUCACCACCUUAGCCAAAGAUGCUGCUUUGCUUUAUCAGUCAGGGAAGUUUGCAGACUGUCUCAAAGUGUUGAAUCAGCUUUUGCAGAAAAAAAAAAAAAAA